GGCGGCAAGCUUAACACAUGCAAGUCGAACGGAUUUUUAUCAUAGCUUGCUAUGAUAAAAAUUAGUGGCAGACGGGUGAGUAAUGCAUAGGAAUCUACCUAGUAGUAUGGGAUAGCCACUAGAAAUGGUGGGUAAUACUGUAUAAUCCCUGCGGGGGAAAGAUUUAUCGCUAUUAGAUGAGCCUAUGUUAGAUUAGCUAGUUGGUAGGGUAAAGGCCUACCAAGGCAGUGAUCUAUAGCUGGUCUGAGAGGAUGAUCAGCCACACUGGAACUGAGAUACGGUCCAGACUCCUACGGGAGGCAGCAGUGGGGAAUAUUGGACAAUGGGCGCAAGCCUGAUCCAGCUAUGCCGCGUGAGUGAGGAAGGCCUUAGGGUUGUAAAACUCUUUCAGUGGG
rnacentral:rRNA from 1 species